rnacentral:rRNA from 1 species
GACGAACGCUGGCGGCGUGCUUAACACAUGCAAGUCGAACGGAAAGGCCCUGCUUUUGUGGGGUGCUCGAGUGGCGAACGGGUGAGUAACACGUGAGUAACCUGCCCUUGACUUUGGGAUAACUUCAGGAAACUGGGGCUAAUACCGGAUAGGAGCUCCUGCUGCAUGGUGGGGGUUGGAAAGUUUCGGCGGUUGGGGAUGGACUCGCGGCUUAUCAGCUUGUUGGUGGGGUAGUGGCUUACCAAGGCUUUGACGGGUAGCCGGCCUGAGAGGGUGACCGGCCACAUUGGGACUGAGAUACGGCCCAGACUCCUACGGGAGGCAGCAGGGGGGAAUAUUGCACAAUGGGCGGAAGCCUGAUGCAGCAACGCCGCGUGCGGGAUGACGGCCUUCGGGUUGUAAACCGCUUUCGACUGUGACGAAGCGUGAGUGACGGUAAUGGGUAAAGAAGCACCGGCUAACUACGUG